UCCCCACCCCACUUCAAUGUCCAUGGUUUCCCACACCUCACUUUUUCACGCCAUCACCACAUCCAUACCACUCCUAUUAUUUCUUAUCAGAAAAAAAGAAGAGCACAAAGAUAAAAUUAUUGGGGCAUUUUGAAAUUUUGAUUUCACAUUAUCGGUAAUCUAAUUAUCAUAUCAAAUAUAUCAAUUAAUAUUUAUAAUAAUUUUACUGUAAUAUUACCUUAAUGUAUCAAAUACAAUAAUUAAUAUUAUUAAUAAUUUAAAAUAAUAAUUGAUUUUAAAAAUAAUUCAUAUUAUCUUUCAAAUUUACCUGACGAUG
rnacentral:lncRNA from 1 species